rnacentral:RNase_P_RNA from 1 species
GAAGCCCACCAGACUGCCGCUGGUGCAAUCUUGGAAACAAGGCACUGGAGGAACGUCCGGACUGCGCAGGGCAGCGUAGCAGCUAACGGCUGUCCACUGAAAACACCAAGCGCAAGCGAGGGGUAUAAGGUGAGGAUCAGAGCAACAGAGACGAGCCGAUUAAGUUCGGGUGAAACGGGCAAUCUCUACGCGCAGCAAUACCAAGUAGGCACACGCAAAGCGAGGCGGUUCGCCGCAGCGCCAUGACCGGGGCCCCCGGAGUGUGCGGGUAGGUAGCACCGAGCCGUUGGGUGACCAGCGGCCCAGAGUAAUGGCAGUCACUUCUGCAGGCCCGCAAGGGUGUGCAGUUGCACAGAAUCCGGCUUAUCGGUGGGCUUCACAC